UUUUGAAUCCUAGGCUCAGGAUUAAACGACUGGCGGCGCACAUAAGACAUGCAAGUCAACGACUUAACUCUUGCUUGCAAGAGGAGCGGUUAGUGGCGGACUGGUGAGUAACACGUAAGAAAUCUGCCUAUCAGAGGGGAAUAACAGUGAGAAAUCAUUGCUAAUACCGCAUAUGCCAUAAUUAUCGCAUGAUAAUAGUGGGAAAGGAGCAAUCCGCUGAUAGAUGAGCUUGCGUCUGAUUAGCUAGUUGGUGGGGUAACGGCCUACCAAGGCGACGAUCAGUAGCCGGACUGAGAGGUUGAACGGCCACAUUGGGACUGAGAUACGGCCCAGACUCCUACGGGAGGCAGCAAGUCGGGAAUAUUGCGCAAUGGAGGAAACUCUGACGCAGUGACGCCGCGUAUAGGAAGAAGGUUUUCGGAUUGUAAACUAUUGUCCACAGGGAAGAAAAAAGACUGUACCUGUGAAGAAAGCUCCGGCUAACUACGUG
rnacentral:rRNA from 1 species